ACAAUUUUCUGGGAGAAGUGCUGAGUUAUCUGACAGAAAUGGAGGGGUGGCAAUAUUUUUGGCCAUGUAGACCAACACAGAAGUUAGUGUCACCCUGGCUACAAAAGCUAAAGGGAUUUUUCCAUAGGCUUUUGGAUUAUUGCAGAAAAUAAGCCCUGUGACAAACUGUGGUUUAUGACAGGUAAUGUUUUGUUCAGCGAGAAAACACCUCUUUUAUUAUUUUUGAAGCCCAAAUACAAUUGGCAGAAGUAAAAAGCUUGUAGCUUGAUUUAGCGCGCUAACCUCUUCUACAAAGUCCUUUCCUUUUAGUGUGACCUGAUCUAGCUGCUGAUCAUGGCUGUGUCAGUUAGAAUAGUUUGAAGUGUGUGAAUCUAAAAACAAUGAGGCUGUAAAGGUGGACUAGUGAUUAGAUUAGUCUCUGUGUUCGGCGCAAUGACAUUUAAUGUCCCAGACAGCGUCUCUAGUCUCAUUUAGCCACUUGUUAGCAACAGCCUUUUUAAAGACACAUAAAAGCCUUAAAAAUCACAAGUGGAAUUUUUACUUAUGUAUUUUAUUUUAUUUUAUAGAACAAAACAUCAAAAUGUAUUGGCCUUGUGUGAAUCACAGACCUUAUUUCAGGUGUCCAACAAAAAACCCACUGACUUCAGGGCAAGGAAACUGGAAGUACAAAAAUGUUAAUUCAGUUCUGGGUUUUAGGACUCACUACUACAGCACUCUUUUUGAAUCUAUAUAAUCUAGCAUUGAGCCAGGUUUUAACAGAUCAAGUGGUCUGUUUAGACAAGCUGACGAGAGCCUCUUGUACUUCAGAACAGCUCCUUAUAGUCUGAGCAGCGCUUGUUUUGUUUCUUGCCUCGUGCGUAACACUGAGGCUACAGGUUGUUGUUUGUCCUCCUGACAUUCUCAGAACUGAUCACGAUGAUGGCCAACGCUAUGAGAAUGAGAGCCGGAUUGUAAAGGAGUCCUUCUAGGAGCAGAGAAGAAAGCGUGGCUGUGGUAGCUCACUGCAGGCUGCACCCAGUCUUCCCUUGCAGCCUGCUUGUGGAAGAACAGGAACUCUGUUCUGCUUGUCAUUGUCUUAUUAGAAGACAAUGUACCAAGGGGAAGAUCCAAUUAAACCAGCAAUAUCAUUCUUGAAGGGUGUUAAUUCUUUGUUCUGUCUACUUGAAUAUAUUACCACUUACUAUAGACCAACUCUUCUUCAUGGAUCGCUUUCAAGCAGCUCACCACAGAACAGAUGAUGUAUAAAUAAUGGCAUGGUCUCUUCUCUGUAGGUUUUUCUAAAUGGUAAUCCAGUGCUAAAGUGUCCCCCCACUCCUCCUCAUACAUACUCCAUACUGUCUCUGGAAAAAAGAGCUUUGAAGUAAAUUAUUUAAUAUAUUUUUAGAAUUGUUUUCUAUUCCUGUUCUCGUGUCCUAUGGCAUGCAUUCUUCUCACACCUCAAAGUAUGAUCAUGUAUAUAUGUGACAUAGAGAAGCAAAUCUACAUACCAACCUAAUAAACAAUACCACUGUAUAGAAAUUGUAUUAGCCUGCACAUUUCUAAGGCUGUGAAGUUAAUUUUAUUUUUAAAACUUGCAUAUAAAUGUAUAUAUUUUUUGAUUUUUACCCUGCAACUAGGAGGUGUAGAGGACAACUAAUCCUGUAAUGAGUCACAGAAUACAUAGUCAUGUUAACUGAAUCUUGUGUGUACAGCAGAGUUGUAGAUAUAUCUAAGGAGAAGCCUUUCUUUUGUUAUUGUUGUUAAUGAUUUCAUCACAGCAACACUGUGUGAAUAUGUACAUAAAGGAUUCACCGUGUUGGUCUCUACCUCUUGGGCUCAGUAACCUGGCUUUGUUUACCUCCACACCUUUCUGAUUUCAUGUGGGGGUGAAUUGAAAACACUUGAAUAUCCAUUCAAGAUUUUAUACUGAGAGAGUAAAGCGUACUCCCCCCCCCCUCCCCACAGACCUUUCCUGCACUAAGUGCAAAGCAUUCACCUGACACGUUGAAUCAUCUGUUUGUAUUACAAAACCCUACCAAUAGCCAAGGGUUUCCUGACUGUUAGUCGAUUUUCACUCUUUGAUAGAAUAGGACCUGGUGAGGAGGGAGAGUUGCAGUUUCCACCACAGUGGCUGUGUUCAACACUCAGUGUCAACAACUUAUUUCAUAUACCAUUCACUUUUAACAUAUUCACAUUAACUGUCUUCCACUUUUAAGUUAUUUUUGGGCUACUGAGAGCUAGACUAGUGUUCUGUAGUUCUUUACAAGCUGUACUAUGUUUGUUUGGAGCCCAAUAGCUUUUGAAUCUCUUACUGAGUUGGGGUGUGGCUUUUCUAACAUUUCUAACUAAAAUUAUUAAUGACUAAAACAUAAACAUAAAUUCAUUCUGUGUAAUUUGGUUUAAAAUAUUUCUCGGAAAUAGUUUGCUUUUAUAAUAGAGCAAGGGACAAUACAAAUCCAA